rnacentral:lncRNA from 1 species
AACGUAUAAUGAUAUCAUGGGAUUAUCUGUGACCUGUAACGAUUGCCUCAGUAUAAAAGAUCAAGUUUCAAGUCCUUGUUAGUUAGAUUUCAAAUUCUUCUCACUAUUGAAUAUUAAGAUGAAGGUUCUCAUUGUGUGCUUGGCUCUCUGUGCAGGUAAGUUGUUUCUUGUUUUGAUCAUAGGAGCUGAGCUAUUUCAACAGUAAUCUUUCUAAAUAUAAAAAUGAAUAUGUGAUAUGAUUGGCAAUGCGACAACUCAUCACUAGGGACCAUAUGACACAGCAAUUAACAGAUAUAGGUCACCGUAUGGCUACAUAUUAUGCUUAUAUAUCAUUAUCUAAGUGACAUGCCUUCUCAUAAAAAAGUUAGGGAAAACUUUGUGCGAUUUCUUAAAUAAUAAUACUCGAAGUUUGAUCUUAAAUGGAUUCUAUUCGUAUCAAGUUUUAAAGUAUCUUCUAAUGUAUGUCAUUACUUGUGCAGCCAUGGCUUCUAGAUAUGCUGGUUUAAUUGUACCGGAGUAACAUAAAUAAAUAUUCUUUGAACACACCAAAUAUCUUAAAUAUCGUUCAUAUUCCAGCAAUAAUGCAGUGCAAAUAAUUAUAGAUCAUUGCCUUUCAAUUGUCAAAUGAAGUUUAACCAUGAAAAGUCAUGAAAGUGCAUCUGACGCAUCUAAUUUGACAAAGUGUAAAUUGUAUAUUUUAUUAUAUUGUUAUAGUUGUUAUGGCUGAAAGAUGUCAACAGACAAGGGACUGCAAGGUAACACUGUGCUCUACAGGCGCCAGUAUUAUGUGUAUCCGUGGUGAAUGUACAUGCACGACUUCAUCUGGAUCUAGUAAGACAUUUACAUUCCUUCACAAAAAAUUUCGUUAUUUAACAUUAUUAAUUUUUAAUACCUUGCAUGUAUCACGUUUUUCAAUAACAUAUGAUGAAUUUAAUCACAUAACGCCCCCUUCUCAUCUUUUGAAAACUGUUGUUCUGAUAAUACUAUCUUGGUGUUGAUUAGAAACAUGAGUAUUUUAUUUCAUUUUGCUGUUCUGUUAACGAAACAAUAAUUUGUUUUUGAUUUAGAAAUUCUUCUCAUUUAUUUGAAACAUUGCUUUAUUGCUUUAAUUUCAUAUUUUCUGUCUACUUCAUUCUCUGAAGCAAUGAUUAUCUGCAAAGAUCAAAUGUAUCAGUUUAUAAGGAAUGUAUUACGAGAACAAAUAACGUAAAAUUAUGAUGUAUGAUCGAAUAACUCUAAGCGAUAGCAAAUUGCUAAUUUUAAUAUAAAAAGACUAGUAUUUUCAUAAUUCUCUGUGCAAGCAAAUACAUUAAUUAUCUAUUGAUGAUACCAAAACUAUUUCUACAUAUUACCUUCUGUUAAAUAAAACGUUGUCAAACAUGUCCUUACGUCACCUUUGGCUCGAUAUAGCAUACUCCCACAGUUUCAUUGCAUAUACAAAAGAAUAACUUUCGUUAGAAGUCAACUUUGUAAUUUCCUUACUUUUUCUUAUUGAAAAGCAUUUAUUAGUAACAUGCUCACAUCAUGUGAUUUACAGCAAUGCAAAAUAAAAACAAAAUGGUACCUUCAAUCACACAAGACAUAUGAUAAGCACACCGAAAGAUAUUUUUGCAAUGAAAUGAUAUUUGUUUACAAGGUAAAACAAUCACGAUAAAAAAUGUUUAAAUUUACAAACUUUUUAAUCUAGUCUACAAUUUUAUAAUGAUGACAUUAUCUGAUUUUUACUCGUCUUACAUGUAAUAGAAUGAAACGUACUAUGUUGGUAUAAUCUCAAUUUGCAUAUUCAGAUUUAUAAACUAAUGAACAAUUCUGAAUUAAUUGAUAAAUCAUAAUAAAAGCAAUCGAGACGCUUAUAAUCCAGAACGGAGCAGCCGAACAUUGACAUGAUUAAUCAAUGCAGUUAUCAAGCGAUGUUGGAACCAACAGUUUUAAUUUGUAUUUAUUAAUGCAUUGAUAAAAAAGAAAUUGGUUAAACAAAUCUUAUUAACACAUGUGCACUUACUAAUGAGCUUUGUUUUUUGUCAGCAUGCGCGACAGCCCAAGACUGCCAUGUGGAAUGUCACGACAGAGAUUCUCACUGUAUCGACGGAAGUUGUCACUGCAGACAUGGCGGAAAUGGUCGAUAACUUUGUUACUUUAGCCAUUAAACAUAUUCAAUAGCUUAUAAAGAUACCUGCAUUUUAUUUCAUUAACAAAGAUGCAUCCGAUUUACCCUAA